UUAACAAAAUACAAAACAAGUGUAACUCCAAAGAUCGAUAAUAUAGAUCGAUGUAGAUCUUUGGAGUUACACUUGUUUUGUAUUU